AUUGAACGCUGGCGGCAGGCCCAACACAUGCAAGUCGAGCGGCAGCGGGAAAGUAGCUUGCUACUUUUGCCGGCGAGCGGCGGACGGGUGAGUAAUGCCUGGGAAAUUGCCCAGUCGAGGGGGAUAACAGUUGGAAACGACUGCUAAUACCGCAUACGCCCUACGGGGGAAAGCAGGGGACCUUCGGGCCUUGCGCGAGUGGAUAUGCCCAGGUGGGAUUAGCUAGUUGGUGAGGUAAUGGCUCACCAAGGCGACGAUCCCUAGCUGGUCUGAGAGGAUGAUCAGCCACACUGGAACUGAGACACGGUCCAGACUCCUACGGGAGGCAGCAGUGGGGAAUAUUGCACAAUGGGGGAAACCCUGAUGCAGCCAUGCCGCGUGUGUGAAGAAGGCCUUCGGGUUGUAAGGCACUUUCAGCGAGGAGGAAAGGUUGAUGCCUAAUACGUAUCAACUGUGACGUUACUCGCAGAAGAAGCACCGGCUAACUCCGUGCCAGCAGCCGCUGUAACAC
rnacentral:rRNA from 1 species